rnacentral:rRNA from 1 species
CCUACGGGUGGCAGCAGUGGGGAAUAUUGCACAAUGGGGGAAACCCUGAUGCAGCGACGCCGCGUGAGUGAAGACGGUCCUAUGGAUUGUAAACCUCUUUUGUCGGGGAGCAAAAAGGCCUCGUGAGGCCACAAGUGAGAGUACCCGAAGAAAAAGCAUCGGCUAACUCCGUGCCAGCAGCCGCGGUAAUACGGAGGAUGCGAGCGUUAUCCGGAUUUAUUGGGUUUAAAGGGUGCGUAGGCGGACUGGAAAGUCAGCGGUAAAAUCGAGAGGCUCAACCUCUUUCCGCCGUUGAAACUGUCGGUCUUGAGUGGGCGAGAAGUAUGCGGAAUGCGUGGUGUAGCGGUGAAAUGCAUAGAUAUCACGCAGAACUCCGAUUGCGAAGGCAGCAUACCGGCGCCCGACUGACGCUGAGGCACGAAAGCGUGGGUAUCGAACAGGAUUAGAUACCCCAGUAGC